GAGCAGCUUCUAUAAUAAGAACUCUCCGUGCGUUCCCCUCCUCCACGAUCGUGAGACUUGUCACCUAACCAAUAUUGUCGCUCGACUUUGACUGAUAAUGUUUAUAAAUACUGGGAUUUGACAUAUGUUACGUGAGCCAGCGGCAAGUCUGUGUUGGAGCCACGCGAGAUCUACCUGCCUCCGGUGACGCGCGCGCGAUGCACCUCGGAGCUAUGCCGUAAAUGUGAUAGAUCGUCGCCAAAGAGAAUUGGACGUUGAAGAAAGAGAGAGAAAGAGAAGGAAAAAAUGACAACUGGUCAGAGUGGACACGAUCAUUCUCUCGCUAUCAGACAAGAAAUACAGCGUUUCGAAAGCGUUCACCCUUCGAUAUACGCCAUUUACGAUCUGAUUGAGCUUGUGCCCGACGCGCACAUCGCCAAACAAAUUCGCGAGCAUGUUGUGGCGAUAGAAGAUUCCUUCGUUAACAGCCAUGAAUGGACAUUGGCGAGAAAUGUUCCCGAAUUACAUCUAGGGAUCAUUGGUUCCUCGGAUUCGGGGAAGUCGGCCCUCGUUCACAGAUAUCUCACUGGUUCGUUCAUGCAUGAGGAAUCACCAGAGGGUGGUCGCUUUAAAAAAGAAAUUUUCAUAAAUGAUCAGAGUUAUCUUCUCUUGAUUAGAGACGAGGGUGGAGUGCCAGAGACUCAAUUUUCAGCUUGGAUAGAUGCUUUACUACUUGUAUUCAGCUUAGAAAAUGAAGAGAGUUUUUCUGUGGUUUGCAGUUUUUACAAUAGAAUGUGUUCUUUCCGGAAUAUGUCAGAAGUACCAAAAAUACUUGUAGGUGUACAGGAUUCAAUUAACGACAGCAAUCCUCGUGUUAUAAAAGAUGUCAGACCACGAAAACUGGCUUGUGAUUUAAGAUGCCCUUAUUAUGAAACAUGUGCUAUUUAUGGUCUAAAUGUUGAGAGAGUAUUUCAAGAUGUGUGUCAGAAAAUCAUACAGAACGUAUCAGCAAAGAAUUUUUCAUGCGACGUGUGCCAACAUGCUCCAGAAAAUGAAGUUAAGUUUGCAGUCCCUGCUAUUACUAAAAAUAUGCAAAUACAUAACAAAGAUACAGAGACCACAAAUUCAUUGAAAGUAUUGGAAAAAGAUGGAAAUGAGGAUUGUCAAUCCAUUCAUAAUAGUUCAAAUGAUUCCUCAUUGCUGAACGAUAAUUUUCAUAACGUGCAGAAUCAACAUGGAGAACUGCGUUCGUCAAUUUUAACGCCAACAACAAUCAGAAAAUUUAGAAGAAAAUCGAAUAUAUUCACACCUUCUAAGAAGGAGAAGUAUAUGGGCGAAAUGGGUGUUGGUCGAGAAAUACCAGUGAAACAAGGUUAUUUGUUCAAACGAAGCAGCAAGUCGUUGAAAGAGUGGAAGAAGAAAUAUGUCACGUUAUUAGAGGAUGGUCGUUUGACAUAUCAUUCGAGUCUACAUGAUUAUAUGAAUGAUACUAAUGGGAAAGAAAUACUUUUGCAAUACGUUACUGUGAAGGUACCUGGUAAAACGCCAAAAGGUUCUAAAUCGUACAAUGCCCAAGAAGACAGUUUCGAAUUUUCUAUCAUCUCCCUGGAAAACAAAACUUGGCACUUCGAGGCAAACAAUGCCGAGGAAAGGGACAGUUGGAUUACCGCAAUAGAACAGCAAAUACUAUCGAGCUUGCAAAAUAGCGAUGGCGACAAGAAAAAUGAAACUGAUGCCUUCAAGAUGCAUUGCAUAAAGAACAAAGUUUCAGGGAAUGACGCAUGUGUUGACUGUGGUGCGCCGAAUCCUGAUUGGGCCAGCCUUAAUUUAGGCGUUUUAAUGUGCAUUGAAUGCUCCGGAAUUCACAGAAACUUAGGUUCGCACAUAUCUAAGGUACGGUCUUUGGAUUUGGACGACUGGUCGUCACCUAAGCGUUAUGCUAGCCCUCGGCAACGACAUAGCCAACAGUAUUUGGGAGUAUUGUUUAAAUGGAAAACAAAAACCUGUCUCGGAUUCAUCGAGGGAAGAGAAGGAGCAAUGGAUUAGAUGGAAGUACGAGGAAAAACUGUUCUUGCCGCCGAUUAAUCCUAAUAUCUCUUUAGGAAAAUUGCUCAUCGAUUCGGUUUGCCGGGGAGACAUGAGAGCGUUUACAUUAUGUUUGGCGCGUUGUAACUACGAGGACAUCAAUGUUUCGGUCAGUACGGAGGAUCUGCGAACGCCGUUGCAUUUGGCUUGCGCAACCGGCAAUUUAGCAAUGGCACAACUUUUAAUA
rnacentral:misc_RNA from 1 species